GGAGCCACCCUUUUCCUGGCCGCACUUCUCUAGCGUCGUGGCAAACGACACCACUCUUGCGCAGGUCAUCAAGGCCGAGUUCUGGGAGUGGUUCGUGUGCGAGGAGGGGAAAGAGGCCGAGGCGGCAAAAAUCCAGGACAAGGUCUGCAGAGAGCGGCUGAAGGACAUGUACUCCGAGGCGCACAUCCAGUGCGUCAUCUCCUACCACCAUGAGGUGCUUGGCCAGAAGGUGACAAAGAAACAGGCCAGGGAGAUGAUCAUGUUCCCCGACACUGAUAUCACCAGAGAGCAGUACAUGCAGUUUCCUGCUGAUUGGUGCAAAUCACACACCGACUGUUGGGCUCAGAUUGUGGACUCGUGGCAGAGGCCGGAGGGGUACGUGGAGCGC